UACGAAGGGGGCUAGCGUUGCUCGGAAUCACUGGGCGUAAAGCGCACGUAGGCGGAUUGUUAAGUCAGGGGUGAAAUCCUGGAGCUCAACUCCAGAACUGCCUUUGAUACUGGCGAUCUUGAGUCCGGGAGAGGUGAGUGGAACUCCGAGCGUAGAGGUGAAAUUCGUAGAUAUUACGGAAGAACACCAGUGGCGAAGGCGGCUCACUGGCCCGGUACUGACGCUGAGGUGCGAAAGCGUGGGGAGCAAACAGG
rnacentral:rRNA from 1 species